rnacentral:rRNA from 1 species
GCAUAACGCGAAGAACCUUACCAAGGUUUGACAUCCCCUUGACAGAAGCAGAGAUGUUUUCUCCCCUUCGGGGGCAAGGGAGACAGGUGGUGCAUGGUUGUCGUCAGCUCGUGUCGUGAGAUGUUGGGUUAAGUCCCGUAACGAGCGCAACCCUUGUCCUUAGUUACCAGCACGUUAUGGUGGGCACUCUAAGGAGACUGCCGGUGACAAACCGGAGGAAGGUGGGGAUGACGUCAAGUCAUCAUGGCCCUUACGGCCUGGGCUACACACGUGCUACAAUGGUCGGUACAGAGGGUUGCCAAGCCGCGAGGUGGAGCUAAUCUCACAAAACCGAUCGUAGUCCGGAUCGCAGUCUGCAACUCGACUGCGUGAAGUCGGAAUCGCUAGUAAUCGCGAAUCAGAAUGUCGCGGUGAAUACGUUCCCGGGUCUUGUACACACCG